rnacentral:rRNA from 1 species
UAUUGGACAAUGGGCGAAAGCCUGAUCCAGCCAUGCCGCGUGUGUGAAGAAGGUCUUCGGAUUGUAAAGCACUUUAAGUUGGGAGGAAGGGUUGUAGGUUAAUACCCUGCAAUUUUGACGUUACCAACAGAAUAAGCACCGGCUAACUUCGUGCCAGCAGCCGCGGUAAUACGAAGGGUGCAAGCGUUAAUCGGAAUUACUGGGCGUAAAGCGCGCGUAGGUGGUUCGUUAAGUUGGAAGUGAAAGCCCCGGGCUUAACCUGGGAAUUGCAUCCAAAACUGUCUGACUAGAGUAUGGCAGAGGGUGGUGGAAUUUCCUGUGUAGCGGUGAAAUGCGUAGAUAUAGGAAGGAACACCAGUGGCGAAGGCGACUUACUGGACCGUAACUGACGCUGAGUCACGAAAGCGUGGGUAGCAAACAGG